rnacentral:lncRNA from 1 species
GUGCCGAGGCCGCGCCGGCGCUGCCCAGGCGGCGCCGGGUGACGGCCGAGGCCGAGGGCAAGUACGUGAUCUCGCUGCCCAAGGGCACCACGGCCCGCAGCCGCCACAUCCUGCGCCUGCACGCCGCCCGAGGUACGGCACGGCGGGGCCCGGGGCUCCCUGGUGGAUCCCGGGGGUCCCUGGUGGAUCCUGGGGGUCCCUGGUGGGUCUCGGGGGUCCCUGAUCGAUCCCGGGGGUCCCUGGUCAAUCCUGGGGGUCCCUGGUGGAUCCCGGGGGUCCCUGGUGGAUCCUGAGUUUUCCCUGAUGGAUCCUUAUUUCCCCUGAUAGAUCUCCAAAUUUCCCUUUUGGGAUCCUCAAAGUUCUCUCCCUGGAUCCCCAAUUUCCCCUCCCAGAUCCCAAUUUCCCCUCCUGGAUCCCCAAUUUCCCCUCUUGGAUCCCCAAUUUCCCCUCCCGGACCCCGGGUUUCCCUGAUGGAUCCUGAGCUUCCCUCUCUUGGAUCCCCAAUUUCCCCUGCUGGAUCCUGAAUUUUCUCUCCUGGAUCCCCAGUUUCUCUUCCUGGAUUCUAAAUUCUCCCUCCCAGAUCCCAAUUUCCCCUCCUGGAUCCCCAAUUUCCCCUUCUCGAUCCCAAGAUUCCCUUCCUGGAUCCUAAAUCCGCCAUUUUUUCCCAAAAUCCCUGAAUUUCUCCCCAACCUCGGCAGGUCUGGGCCGUCCCUCGGUGUUCGAGCGCCUCGGGGCCGAGGCCAAAGCGGCCGCAGCCGCGGGAGCCAAGCCCUCGGGCGUGUUCAGCCGCCUGGGCGCCGCCCCGGAGGGCCCCGAUGCCGCGGCCGAUCCCGGCGCGGGGGAUCCGGCGGAUCCCGAGGCGCUGCCCUACGCCGGCGUGCUCAAGAAGCGCCGGGAAUGUUCCGGAACGGCCACAACGACGAUGGCGGCGCAGGACGGGGCCGUGUCCAGCUCGGGGGGCGGGGCCUGGGGGUGUGGCCAGGUCAGCAGCUCCUCCCGCAGCGUCUUCCGCAGGCUGGGC